rnacentral:rRNA from 1 species
UACAGAGGUCUCAAGCGUUGUUCGGAAUCACUGGGCGUAAAGGGUGCGUAGGUGGCGUGGUAAGUCAGAUGUGAAAGCCCGGGGCUCAACCUCGGAAUUGCAUCCGAUACUGCCGUGCUAGAGUACUGAAGAGGUGACUAGAAUUCUAGGUGUAGCAGUGAAAUGCGUAGAUAUCUAGAGGAAUACCAAAGGCGUAGGCAGGUCACUGGGCAGUUACUGACACUGAGGCACGAAGGCCAGGGGAGCAAACGGG